rnacentral:rRNA from 1 species
UUGAAACACCUGUUCCCGUACGAUCACCCAAGUUAAGCAACGUCCAGCCUGGUCAGUACCUAGAUUGGUGACUGUUUGAGAGUAGCAGGUGCUGUAGG